GCCCGGGUGGCGAAACCGGUAGACGCAAGGGACUUAAAAUCCCUCGGUGGCAACACCAUGUGGGUUCGAGUCCCACCCCGGGCACCA
rnacentral:tRNA from 1 species